GGGUCAGGCUAGAAAGGGGCGUCAAGUAUACUUAGGUGGAUACGAUAGGGAAGAAAAGGCAGCUAGAGCUUAUGAUUUGGCAGCUCUGAAAUAUUGGGGUCACACUGCAACCACCAACUUCCCUGUUGCAAAUUAUACCAAAGAAUUGGAGGAGAUGAAAUAUGUUUCCAAACAAGAAUUCAUUGCCUCGCUGAGGAGGAAGAGUAGUGGGUUUUCAAGGGGAGCCUCUAUAUACAGAGGAGUAACAAGGCAUCAUCAACAGGGUCGUUGGCAAGCAAGAAUAGGUCGUGUUGCUGGAAACAAAGACCUAUACCUUGGCACGUUUGCAACAGAAGAGGAAGCAGCUGAGGCAUAUGAUAUAGCAGCCAUAAAGUUUCGAGGUAUGAAUGCAGUGACCAAUUUCGAGAUGAGCCGAUAUGAUGUGGCAGUAAUCAUGAAGAGUGCUCUUCCUAUUGGUGGGGCAGCAAAGCGGUUAAAGCUCUCACUUGAAGUAGAGCAGAAACCAACACUGAACCAUGAACAGCAACCUCGGGGUGGCAGCAAUAAUAUCAAUUUUGCUUCUAUGCCUCUAGAUUCUGCUAUCCCUUGCGGUAUUCCUUUUGAAAACACAGCAGCACUCUAUCAUCACAGCCUCAUCCACCACAUUCAAUCUGCCAACAACUUUGGUGGAACUGAUUCUUCUGGCUCCACCUCAUCCAUGGCGACUCCAAUGACUUUACUGCCGCAAACAACUGACUUUUUUAUGUGGCCUCAUCAAUCUUAUUGACAAAAGUAGUUUUGACUGUAGGAAUGCAGCUAACAUGUGUCAACAGGCCCAGUCGAUGGAUCUUCCAAGCUGACAAAAAUUGCUGACUUUUUUACCUUAAUGUACCCUCUUAAUUAACCUUGGCAGGAGCAGGCAAGAAAGACAGGUUUUUCCUUUUUUUCCCAUUUGGUUUAAUGGUUAAAGUUGUGAUUACAACAGGAUACCAGAUUUUGUAAGUAACUUGUCUGAAAUGUGUGCUAAGCGUGGGGGCGUCCAUUUACUUGAGGAAAGGUUUAGAUUAUUGAAAGCGUUGAUUAAAGAGUUGAUUACCAAUUUACCAUUCUUAAAGAGUUGAUUACA
rnacentral:misc_RNA from 1 species